rnacentral:rRNA from 1 species
UACGUAGGGUGCAAGCGUUGUCCGGAAUUAUUGGGCGUAAAGAGCUCGUAGGUGGCCUGUCGCGUCGGCUGUGAAAACUCGGGGCUCAACUCCGAGCUUGCAGUCGAUACGGGCAGGCUAGAGUUCGGCAGGGGAGACUGGAAUUCCUGGUGUAGCGGUGAAAUGCGCAGAUAUCAGGAGGAACACCGGUGGCGAAGGCGGCGAUCUGGGUCGAUACUGACGCUGAGGUGCGAAAGCGUGGGGAGCAAACAGG